rnacentral:rRNA from 1 species
GACGAACGCUGGCGGCGUGCUUAACACAUGCAAGUCGAACGGAAAGGCCCUGCUUUUGUGGGGUGCUCGAGUGGCGAACGGGUGAGUAACACGUGAGUAACCUGCCCUUGACUUUGGGAUAACUUCAGGAAACUGGGGAUAAUACCGGAUAGGAGCUCCUGCUGCAUGGUGGGGGUUGGAAAGCUUCGGCGGGUGGGGAUGGACUCGCGGCUUAUCAGCUUGUUGGUGGGGUAGUGGCUUACCAAGGCUUUGACGGGUAGCCGGCCUGAGAGGGUGACCGGCCACAUGGGGACUGAGGUACGGCCCAGACUCCUACGGGAGGCAGCAGUGGGGAAUAUUGCACAAUGGGCGGAAGCCUGAGGCAGCAACGCCGCGUUCGGGAUGACGGCCUUCGGGUUGUAAACCGCUUUCGCCUGUGACGAAGCGUGAGUGACGGUAAUGGGUAAAGAAGCACCGGCUAACUACGUG